GACGAACGCUGGCGGCGUGCUUAACACAUGCAAGUCGAACGGAAAGGCCUUUUCGGAGGUACUCGAGUGGCGAACGGGUGAGUAACACGUGGGUGAUCUGCCCUGCACUCUGGGAUAAGCCUGGGAAACUGGGUCUAAUACCGGAUAGGACCGCACUUUAGUGUGUGUGGUGGAAAGUUUUUUCGGUGUAGGAUGAGCCCGCGGCCUAUCAGCUUGUUGGUGGGGUAAUGGCCUACCAAGGCGGCGACGGGUAGCCGGACUGAGAGGUUGGUCGGCCACAUUGGGACUGAGAUACGGCCCAGACUCCUACGGGAGGCAGCAGUGGGGAAUAUUGCACAAUGGGCGCAAGCCUGAUGCAGCGACGCCGCGUGGGGGAUGACGGCCUUCGGGUUGUGAACUCCUUUCGCCAGGGACGAAGCGUUUUGUGACGGUACCUGGAGAAGAAGCACCGGCUAACUACGUG
rnacentral:rRNA from 1 species